GAAUAUUGGACAAUGGGGGCAACCCUGAUCCAGCCAUGCCGCGGGUGUGAAGAAGGUCUUCUGAUUGUAAAGCACGUUUUGCAGGGAAGAAAAGGCUCUGGUUAAUACCUGGAGCUGCUGACGGUACCUGCAGCAUAAGCACCGGCUACCUACUUGCCAGCAGCCGCGGUAAGACGUAGUGUGCAAGCGUUAAUCGUAAUUACUGGGCGUAAAGCGUGCGGAGGCGGUUUGGCAGGAAGGAUGUGAAAUCACAGGGCUUAACCUUGGAACUGCAUUCUUAACUGCCAGGCUAGAGUAUGUCAGAGGGGGGUAGAAUUCCGCGUGUAGCAGUGAAAUGCGUAGAGAUGCGGAGGAAUACAGAUGGCGAAGGCAGCCCCCUGGGAUAAUACUGACGCUCAUGCACGAAAGCGUGGGGAGCAAGCA
rnacentral:rRNA from 1 species